rnacentral:snoRNA from 1 species
AGCUCAGUGAUUGCAGCCACUUACGUUGGCAAUAUACGCUAUACAGACCAUAGUUUGAUGACCAAUGAGAAUAUGAGAGCU